rnacentral:rRNA from 1 species
AACGUAGGGGACAAGCGUUACCCGGAUUUACUGGGCGUAAAGCGCCCGUAGGCGGCCUGACAAGUUGGACGUGAAAGCUCCUGGCUUAACUGGGAGAGGCCGUUCAAAACUGUCAAGCUAGAGUCUGGAAGAGGAGAGCGGAAUUCCCGGUGUAGUGGUGGAAUGCGUAGAGAUCGGGAAGAACAUCGGUGGCGAAAGCGCUCUACUGGACUGCAACUGACACUCAGGGACGAAAGCUAGGGGAGCGAAUGGG